GGGGCAUUGGCGCAGUUGGUAGCGCGUUUCGUUCGCAAUGAAAAGGUCGGGGGUUCGAAUCCCCCAUGCUCCACAA
rnacentral:tRNA from 1 species